AGUCAGGGAUUGGAGGGAGUCAAGUUUGGUGAUCUCAGAAUUGCAUCUCUACUUUUUGUGGAUGAUGUGGUUCUGUUUGCUUCAUCAGAUUUUUGCCUCUG